GCACAUUCUAUUUUAUUGCUGUUUCCAGAUUCCCAAAUUAUGCCUUUCAGAAUUACUUUUGUCACCACUUCUCUACCAGCUAAUAAUAUUUUCUCUAUAUAAAUUAUUGAAUUAAUGACUCAGGAUUAUAAUCGCCUGUGAAUUGUAUGGUAUUUAAUUUCUUUUCCAGCAGGUAAGAGUAGAAUAAAGAGAAUGUAAUAAGUUACAUGCAGUCACAAAAUGAGUCAUUAGAAUCAGAGACAGAAUUUGGACACUGAAGACACAAGUCCUGCUUCUCAGUAGUCCUGUUGGCUGCAUAAUAAUUUAACCUUCAUGCAAAACAGCUGAAUCAUACUGUUCUCUUCUGUGUCAUGCGUCCCAUUUAGACAGGCUUCCCUGCCUUGCCUUCUUCUUUGUAAUUCUUUUAUCUUUCUGUCUCUUUGUCUGUCUGGUUUAUGUAUUUAUCUAAAUAAUUUUUUUAAGUUUACAAAUAUUUCAGGAACUCUCUUACAUGGUGGUUGAAUGCUGAUCGUUUCAAAGGAGUUGAAAUGAUCCCACCCUAAAUAGCAAAGUACUACAAUAUUAUUCUUGCCUAGAAGCUGCCCAUGUGUAUUAAUUUAACUUAAGGUCAUUGUGGGUGCUUUUUAACUUUAGGUUACUUGAGCUAAAGAGACUUUUCUUGAAAGAAAGUUUGGCAAGAGGAAUUGGAGUAAUACUUAUUGGAACCUUCAGUAAUUGGGGAAAGGUAGGGAAGGAAGAACUGAAUUAGAAAAAAACCCACACUCAAAAUGUGCCAAACCAAGAUUUGAUUAAUUCAAAAGUUUACUUGGAGGUAUAUUUAUUUCUGAAUCUCAAUUUCUAUUUGUUAUAGUUCCAUGAAAAGUAUUAUCUAUCAAUAUAUGCCCUUAUUACUCAGGAAGCAAAUGGAAUGACUGGCUUUCAGAAGGUGAGAUCAGAGAGAACAUUCAAGGAGUAAAGGAAGACACAAUUCUACUCCUUUAAUAAAUAGUCUGCAUCAGAAACCCUACAACCUGAUCUGAAACUCAGGAAACAGGUAAAGCCAUAAGCAGGAAGAUGAUUAAGAGUUUCUUUAGAAGUCCUGCCAAGACAAAUCUCUGCAGUCAAAGUGGAAUCAUUAGUGGCCUCCUCGACCUCAAAGUCUUCAGAGAAAGUAGGAACAGUGGGUUUAUUAGGUAAUUCUCUCUAUAGAAGGGAAGGUGUUUUUUUUUUUCUCUAUAUUCUUGACAGGCAAUUGUACUUAAUGGACAAAUUUAUCCAAUAGACAAAACCUAUCUCAUUGUAAACUCUGAGUGUGCCUCAUGGGCUAGUUCAGCCAAGUUUAGGAGAUUACCAAAAGCUUAGCCAUCCACAUAGCACAGCAGAUUUUCACAAUUGAGACUGGGAUUUUUAAUCAAAGUAAGAUCCUUUUCAUUGAAAACUCCUAUAUAACUUUUGGAAAUCUACACAAAUAGUGCAAUAAUUAGAAAAUAAUAAUGUUAUGACAGAAAUUAUAAUCAUAUAUGGCUGUGUUUCUACUUUUACAUUAUUUCUGCAUCCCCAAUUCUUUGUUUUUAAAAAAUGUUUCUAAAUUGUUCUCAAAUGAUAGCACAAAUUCACAAAAUGUUGUGAGAAAAUGAAAAAUAAGAACUACUUAGAAAAGAUUUUAAUUCAAAAGAAAUAAUAGUUGAAAAUAAAUCCAUUUUAAAUUAUAAGGCUUCUUAAAAUGUAUUCUCAGUGGACUAAAGCAAUAGAUAUCAGCUAUAUAAAGGCCACACUUUCCUCUUAACGGUUUAGACAACUCAGAAGUUCACAUAAAAACCAUUUCUUAGUGUCACUAAUAUUUUAUUUAAUUUCCUAUAGCAGAAAAAAAAAGCAGAGGAAAUUAUUCUGAUGAAAACCAAAGACUUCCGACACUUUUAUAGCAUUAAAAUUUAUGGACACUAGAAAUCUUUAAUUUUACAUGAUUUCUUUUUUCUUUCCUCCCUCGUUUCCUUCUUCUCCACCCCUCCACUUUCUCUCAAUCUCUUUUUUUCUUUUUUUUAUGGUUAGAAUUUUAUGUCUUUGACAAAAAUUUUAUGACUUUUAAGAAGUCUUUGAUACCCUAAAGAAAUGAAGACAUUCUCCUAUAUUUUCUAAACACUUUAUGGUUUUACCUCUCACAUUUUGGUCUUUAAUUCAGCUGGAAUUGAUUUGCAUGUGUGGUGGGAGGUAGAAGCCCAAUUUUAUUUCUUCUACAUGGACACCCAAUUUUCAGAAAUGUUUCUUUUGAUCUGCGGUGCCACCUUAGUGUUUUCAUAUAUGAUAUACAUUUCAUAUAUUAAGUGUCCAUGCUUAUGUGGGUCUGUUUUAUCACUGUUAUGCUCCUCAGGUCUAUCUGAUUAUCUUUAUCUUAGUUACAGUGGUUUUAAGAUCAUUUUUCAUAUCCAAAAAGCCUGUUUUCCCAAUUUGUUAUUUAACAGUAGUUUAGCUGUUUUCAUCUCUGUCUUUCUGCCUCUCUCUCUCUCUCUCCAUCUCUGUGUGUGUAUUUAUUUACUUAUAUCUUAGUUGGUCAAACUUAAAAAAUCAAACUUAGGGAUUUUAUUGGGAUUGGAAUAAAUCUAUAUAUACAUUUGUGUAAAAUUGACAUAUUUACACGUAUCUUCCAAUUCAUGAAUAUGGUAUAUCUCUUCAUUUAUUUAGGUCAUUUAAAAUGUCACUCUAUAAAAUAUAUAAUUUUUUUCAUAAGGGUUAGAUGUUUUCUGGUGCAUUAUGUUUUAAAAAUGUCUUCCUAACUGAAAUAUUUUUGUUUGAGUUUUUAUUUUUUAAAUCUUGUACCUAUGUAUAAACAAUUUGCUUUUGUAUAUUAUUUGUGAAGCAACAUUUUUAUCUUCCCUUCUUCUAAUUUAUCUAUCUACUUAAUUUAUAUCUGCAAACUAUUGCCUUCAAAUAAUUAAAAUUUUGUUGCUUUCUCUCCCCACCCCAACCACUAUAGCUUAUAGUUCUUUUUAUUUCUCUACUACACUGUUUAGGUUCUCCAAUAAAAUGAUGAGUAGCAUUAGUCAUAGUAGAAACCCUUUUAUAUUUUUGAUCUAAAAAAGAAAGCUAUUAUUAUCUCUCUAAGUACAUUGUUGCUAUAGGUUUUUAAGAUAUUCUUUAUCAAAUUGAGGACAUUUUUUCUCUUCUAUUUGCUAAGAUAUUUUAAAUCCAUGAAUACAUAUUAAAUUUUUAAAGUUUUUUUCUUCAUUUUGUAAUUAAUAAUAUAAUUGUGGCAUUAUAUAUUCUUAUAUAUAACUAUAUAUUUCUAAAUAAACAAUUAUAGUGUAUAAUUAUUUUCCUUAAUAUUUUAAUAUAGCAAAUAACAUUAAUUGCUAUUCAUGUGUUAAGUCUACCUUGUAGUCCUGAGAUACAAAACUUGAUGAUUUUGUGUUAUCCUCUCUACAUGUUGCUGAAUUUUUCUUGCUAAGUUUUUGCUCAGAAUUUUAACAUCUAUGUAUAUGAGUGACUAAACCAUGAUUUUCUUAUCAUGACUUUGUAAAGGUUGAGAUUAAACUAUUGCUCAUCUCAUAACAAAAAUAGGGAGUUGUUUUUGUGUAUUUCUCCCAGAAGCGGUCUCUGAGACUUGAAUUCAAAUGCAAAAAUGUGAUUUGAGAGGAGCAGAGGAAAUACUGGCAGGGAAAUGGGCAAGAAAUAUAGUAGGUGCAACACUGCUCCUGGUAGCUGGCUGGAAUUCCAAGACUGUGGGCUUUAUCUUGUGAGAUGUUGUGGAAAUGAGGCCCGCAGAUCAUCACUGCUCAGCCCACUGAAUUCAGCCUCUUUCGUAGUGCACAAUGCUGCAGUUCAUUUCACAGCUGAGAAAACCAGGAGCCAGACAGAAUAAGGGACAGCCAAAUUUAUUGAGACUCUGGACAAAUAUGAUGCCAAAUGCAGCUGCUCUUGGAACUCACGGCUUCCCAAACCUCAGGAGACACAGUUGGUUGCCCAGGAAUUAAGGACCGGGGGAAACGGCUGUUCACUUCCACCUCUGGCCCCCUGGAGAGAAACACAGGUGGCUGAAAUCAUUCACCAAGUUCUCAAGACAGAUUGUCAAGUGCGAAGAAAGCACUUUAAAGAGAUUGAUAAAAUAAGAUGUCACAACCUCCAGUACUUCUUACUAUCAGAACCAAUCCUCAGGAGAAAUGCAGUAUUUAACAACAUUUAAGAUGAAAGAAGUUUGCUUAUUAAACAAAAUGUGCCAUCACCAACUCUGUUGGCCAAUUCCACAACAUUUAUGAAUUCCUAUCCUCUUCAUCCAAGUCAUAAUAUCCUGCUUCUAAUGCCAAGCUUUGCAUCAACCCAAAUAUGUAUAAGAUGGGAAGAAGAUAUGGAGCCCAACCACAGACUGAAGAUACCUUGAUUACAGAAGGCUUUGCAGACCUCGGUUAUUUCAAACAUUUUUGUUUUCUGCUUGGUAUCACAGAGUAUUUUUACCCCAGUGCAGUAUACCAGUAAAUUAGAAUGAGAGAGAGGUGACCUUUCUUGUCAAAAUGGAAGAAGAGUGAUUGUUCAAGAGGAGGUAAGAAAGGAGAACCAACACAUUUUCAGAUGACUUUCAGGAAAGACAUAAGUGUUGGGGAUGUGAGAAGUGAUUUCAUUAAAUCUGUGGCUGUUAACCCUUGGAAAGCCUCUGUCUACAGCAAGAACACAUGUAUCUCAGUUUAAAGGCCAUGAUAUAAUCUAUAUUUGAGUGUAUUUUGUUGUUGUUGUUGCUGUGUAACAAUUUAAUACAUGCUUAGAAGCUUCCAACACCACCACCCAUUUAUUAUCUCACAGUUUCUGUGGGUCAAGAGUCUGGACACACUUUAGUUGAGUUUUCUCUUCAGGGUCUCUGGUCAGAGUUGCAGCUCAUCUAAGAUUCAGAGUCCUCUUUUGAACCCACAUGUAUAUUGGCAGACAUUUCCCCACAGUUGAAAUAUUUAUGGUGAUUUGCUUUUUCUAGGUCAGGAAGAGAGAUUUUGUACUGCUCUGAGUUUCUGAUUGUUAGACCCACUUUUAAAUGACUCACCUGAUUAGGUAAGACCCAUCCAGCAUAAUCUCUCUUUUGAUUAACUCGAAGUGAACUAAUUAGGGACCUUAAUUAUGCCUGCAAAAAUCCCUUCACCCUCUCCAUAUAAUAUAAAACAAUCAAAGAAUGGCAUCCAUCAUAUUUGCUAAGCUUUCACCCAUACUCAAGGGAUAGGAUUGCAUAGUGUAUAAACCCUAGAAAGCAAAAAUCUUGGUGCCCAGUUUAGAAUUCUGUUUACCAUGCAUGACAAAACAGAACUUCCUAAACUCCAAAAACUUUCUCUUCAUUUACAAACAGGUUUCACAUAUGCUCUCUUUAAUUAAGUGCCCCUUUUCUAUUUGCUUUUAGGACCUACUUCAAGUCCCUUCUUUACUACUUCAAGUCCCUUCUUUACAAAGCAUUGCAAAGCUUUCCAUCCAACACAGGGAGAUAGAAGUCAUUUCUCCCUUUUUGAAAAUUAAAAUACUAGUUUUGUUAUUUGUAUAAAUAUUUAAUUCCCUUUUUAAACAAGUAACUCCUUGAAUCAUGUCUGAUUUAUCUUUGCAUUGUUUAUGAGAUCAAUGCAUUGUACUGAUGUAAAAUGCACACAAAUACAUGAUUGAGUAAAGGGAUAAAUUAAAAUGUGCCAUUGUUUAAACUUGAUGAUGCUUCUAGCUUUGGCUUCUCAGCCUUUCUCUAUUCUUAUAUCCAGCUGUGCAUAUGAGUAGGUUAUAAAUGUAUAGAAUAUAGAGCCAGUGUCUUCUCUAUCUUUUCUCAUACUUUUUAUUACAAAUCUCAGUGCUAAUUCCUACAUGUAUGGAUGCUCAUAACCAAACAGCCUUAUCUCACUGGUACAAACUGACCCUAAGAUCAACCAAGCAUUUGCCUGGUGUAGUUUAUGGUAACAUGCUUUUUCAUUGUUUCAAUUUAUUUUGAAAUGGAGAAAAUGCAUAUUGGUCAAUUUUCUGAAGAAAGAGUUAAAGGUGGCUGGGAUUCCAUGUCUCUAAUAUUUAAUAAGCGUCUUUCUACUACCAGAUUUUCAAGGGAAAUCUGAAUAUCAGACAUACUACUACAAAAUAUCAUUCUCUUGUGCUGCUGUGGCCACAAACCUUUCUGUAAAUUUCCCAGCUCUAGUGAGAUGGGUCAAAUCACUUGCAAGCCACAGUGAAAAUAUUAGGCCUUUAGUCUAAAACCUAGAAUAAAAGGAAAAAAAAAAACCUUUCUUAAACACUUUAUGGUAGAUCCAAAUCUUAAUUUUGGCCCUCAAGAUCUUGCCAAUGGGAUGGCCAAAAGUAAUCCCCGGUGGGGGAAAAUAUCAAAGGAAAGAAAGAAUUUUCCCUUUGGGUUUAGAGCAGAGUUCACCUAAUGAACACACCGCUGAGCCUUCCUAAUGCAAUAAGGUCCCCUCUUUUGGGGAGUAGCCCAAAAUUUAUAUAUCAUACAAAACAAGAAGCCAACAAUCAGAUCAAGUAAUUCCAAAAGGAAGAUUCCAAGGGGAACAAGUGAUGCAGACAUACAUAUUUUGAGACUCUUCUUCAGGAGAAAAGGGAAACAUACUUGCCCUGAAUUUAUGGGUUAAUAUAAACUUGAACUUGCCCCAUAGCAUACCUCACCUUCUCAGGUAGCAAGCGGGUUUGAGGGGCAUCUCUGAGAGGUCUCCUACUUGCCUAGUGGCCUGAAAUAGCAGGAAAUCUUCCUACCUACUUUGUGGAUCACGCUUCAUUAGAAUACCUACUGGUUUUGGUGAUUGGUUCCCUCUCUUUUCUCUUUUCUGAAAUACCUGUCAGAUAUACAUAAAAAAGUGAAUACAUCUGGCAUUUAGAAAGCCUAAAUUGAGAUCCUUUAAAUUAAAAAGGCCACUCUCUGCUAAAGGAAGGAAGUUACAUUACAAGUAACACUCCUUGAGGAAAAAAAAAGAGGCAUGCAUGCAGAAUUUAAUGCCAGAGUCUAAUUAGUUUUAGACUAGUGCUAUAAAACUUAAAGAGGAGCAAAGAUAAAUAUUUCAGCUAAUUUCCCUAUGUACUGUGAAUAAAAGAGCGAAAAUGAUUCUCAAAUUUGAAUGUUAUGAAGUUAUUUGCAAAGUAUAUUAAGUCAGAUCUUCUAUGUAAUGAAGUGUCUUUACAGUUUAAGAGACUUUCUAGGAGCUGACAUUUCUAUCAUAAAGAACGAGGCUCUUGUGGAUUCAUUAUGACUUCUUGAAACAAUCUGAACUAUAGACCUUGCUGUCUGCCAGCUGCGGACACAUCUACACAUUAACUGUGUCUAGGAGCAGCUCAGUGCACAAAGGCUCAAAGUUAUUUCCACUGUCAUGACCUAAAUCUCUGGCCAAGUGAUACCAUGUUGAAAAGCCUCCUUGAUAAUACCUGAUUUCUUUUUUCUCUUCACACUCACCUAAAGAAUUGCAUUUAAAAAAAAAAGAAAUCAAAUUGCAUGAUAGAAGGUCAUUAGAUAUAUGAAUGUCAUUAUGAAACCAAUCAAUGCAUCACUUUCCCUCCUUUGAUCAGCUUGAAUCCCUUCCUGGGAAGCCCCAUAACUCCUUCAGAAGUGGUCUCCUGUGCGUGAUUACUUUGACACAAUCUAGAUGAUGCUGUAUUAGGGAGGUGAGAAAGAGCAAGUAUCAAAACCAAAAUUACUAUGUAUAAGUUUGCAAAUGAGCUGAUGAUGUCCCCUUUGCCACUUUCACUAAGAAGGGAAAUAUAUUGAUUUGGAGUUACAGAGAUUCUGUUGCUCCUACUUUUACUUUACUGGCUGGUAAAUCUAUCCAACACAUCAUUUUAAAUAAUAGCUAUUUUUUUCAUUGGACUUUUAUAGCUUUUAUAUUAGUUUGUAGGGUUUAUCCCUAUAUGUUUCUAUAGCAAAAGACUGUUUUCUCCUCUAAUUCAAAAGGCAUCCAUGGUUUGUUUUAUCCUGGAAUAAUAUGUUUGCUUUAUAAUGAAAGCAUUUUUAAAUUAUGUAUUUAUACAUUAAUCAUUGGUUGAGACCAUCUUUCUUUCAAUGCACAAUUUGCUAUUUUUAUCUGGAGAAGAAAACAGAAACACCUCCUACUAGGCUACAAGUUCCUUGAGGGGAAGGAAUCUAGUUCCUAGCACAGUGCCUGGGACAUAGCAAGAUUUGAGUAAAUUUUUGUGAAUAAAUAAGUGAAUCAGUGUAAUAGAAAUACUUAUGAUAGCAUAUAUGAAUAUAUACACAAUGUUUACAAAGUGAGUUUACUCUACUUAGGAAUUAACUGCAUAGAUUAACUACUGAUAGCAACUGACCCAAGAUUGGGCCCUCAUAUAUUUGGAAAUAUGAAAUGCAGUUUAGAGAUAAUCAUAUGCUAUUUUCUACAAUUUUUUCAAAAUAGAGAGAAAGUUAAGAAAAAAAUAUGCAUAACUUCCAAUAAUGGAAUUGUAUAAAGUCAUAGCAUUUACUCCCUAAUACAUGUGCAAUUUCAUUUUUAUAAUUUCAUUUCUAUGGUUGUUUUAUGCAAGUAUUAAUAUAAAAAUUGCCAUCAAUCCUGAGAUAAUAUAAUUAAAAUAUUUAUGUUAACAGCAUUCAUUCAUUCAUGAAAAAUGUGUUUAAAUUGUAUCAAAUCAUAUUAAAAUGAGUUGUUUUGAACUACCCUUCAAUCUUGAGUGUCUGUAAUUCCAGGGUUCUGUGAUUAUUUUUCUCUCUGAAAUAGAUUCUAUCACAAAAUAAUGAACUUUUUUAAAGACCUGGAAACACAUGUCCUUCAUCUUGGUAUUGUCUUCAUCUUCCACCAAAAUGUUUAUUGAAUGAAAAACUGUGAAAUGUUAAUUUCUAAGAAUCAAUAAAAGUACUCUAGCCUUGG
rnacentral:lncRNA from 1 species